UCGCUAAGCACUGUGCAUA
rnacentral:misc_RNA from 1 species